GAUUACAAGCCACAUAAAACUGGGUACAGUACCAUAUACAGCUAAGUCCAACCAAUGGGAAUAUAGAGAAAGCAAAUCACCAAUUACAUAUAUAUUUUCAACCAACUCAUCCUUCUAUCUCUAUAUAUAUAACCUUCAUCUACUGUUACCAUUCAACACUUCUCUCUCUUCCCACCCUUUUUUUUUCUUCUCUCCUUUGCUUUUCUUUUCCUUCUCAGGUUUAGAUCUCAGGCGUUUUGCGACAUAUGCAUUUAAUAUAUUCUUUAUAUCUCUUCUUCCCGAUUCUACUCUGAUCUAUAAUCUAUUUCCACCAUACGUAUAUAUAAAUAUGAAAUAUCUAGAUGUAUACCCUUAUUUCUUUUGAGAACUUCUUCCUAUAUAUGGAUUUCCCAAGGUACGUGAGACUUUCCCUUUUGAGUUUUCUUUUCUUUUCUUCUUUUAAGCUUUUUUCCCUAAGGGAAAGUAUGGUUCUUUUUAAUCGACACAGCAAAACCUGUAGAUUCUAAAAGUAUAGUUAUUAAGUGGCUUUGAAUCCCGUUUUGUUUUGUUUGGUUUUCUUCGAUCUUUGGAGGUUCUGAAAGUAAGCGCUUUUGUUGUUGAAAUUUUCUUGUUUUUAUUUUUUUUUAAUUGGGGUUUUGGCUUUUGUUUUGUUCUUGAGGUAUGAAUUGAGUUCAUGUGGUUAGAUUCCAUUCGGGUACCCAACUGGCCUCGUGUGCCAAACACACACUAACCACUUGCAACAAGCCACAUCAGCUACUCCUCGUGGCCUUGCUGCUAAAAUUGCACAUAAAAUCUCAAUUUUCCGUGUCCUCUCUUUCUUUUCUAUUUAUUACCCUCUCCUGCUUUCUCUCUGUUUCAUGUUGUUCCCCUUUUUUUAUUUUCUCUCUGACAAUUUUCCGUGAGAUUAAUUGGACUUCACUCUUAGAGUAAGCUAUUUAGCCAUAUCUAAGUUUCACCAAGAUUGGUAAUAAUGCUAGCUAGCCUCUAAAUAUAUUAUACACAUACUUUGUUUUUCUGAAGCUAUAGUUGCAUGGAGAGGUUGACAGUCGUUGUUUGCGGAUGUAGCAUCAUCAAGAUUCACAUGCAAAUGAAGGUGGAUGGGACUAUGAUGCAAUCUAAGCUCUGACCCAAUCUAUCCAUUGGUCUUUUUGGAGUGAGAAUCUUGAUGAUGCUGCAUCAGCCAUAAACGACUUUAAAAAGGUGUAUAAGUUUAGCCCCAAUAAAAGAGUGGAGAUAAAAAAGAAACAAAGUGAUAGGUCUACACACAGCUCAAACUUCCAGAUACUGUGCCCAUGACCAUGAUGCAUAACAAUAGAGACAGUCCUAGGUUAUCGAAUAUUGGCUAUUUAGAUUUUGGAGGCUGAGUGGUGCGGCUGUUGUUAGGUCCCUUAUGUGCUGACUUCACAGAUCUAUGAAUAUUCCUUUUCAACAUAAAAUGGUGUCUUUUCAGUUUCUUAAUAUAUAUUGAAUCAUCACUUUAUCCAAAUCUGGAGGCAAUAAAGACAUACACACACUCACAAUACAGAGGGUAUGAGAGAGAAAUUAAUAUUUGGAUUUUAGGUCGCUGAUCGAGUGGUGUUCAUGUUGCCUACAUUAUUUUUUUAAUAUUUUUAUGACUAUGGCUUCAGUUAAUUAUCAGAUCCAUUGAUCAUAACUAUCAAAUUCGAUAUGGUUUGUACUUGUACCAAACUGAUCUAUAAAGAGGAUUUUUGAUUUGUUACCUUGAUUAGUGAUUCUUGUAGUUAAUUUUCUCGGUUGGAGGGUGGGGUUCCCGUGUGUACAAGCUUUGUCCUUGUUAAAACAUUUAAUAUUAUAUGCAGGAAUGAAAUAUAUUUUAAGUAUGGACAUUCUUCCAAGUGGCUUGCAUCUGAGGAUCACUGAAAAUUGAAGCUGGCUUGGGAAUUGGAUAUGUGCCAAAUCACGGAUUUGUCUUAGAUUCAUGUCAAAGGCUUUGGUUUUAGCAUGCACAAAAUCACUAUAAUGAAGCCUUGGUAAGUAAUCUCAGUAUAUAUCAGCAGAGAUAUUUCAAGUUUUCGAAUUUCAACCCAUUCUUAUAUAUUAUUGCUCAAAGAUAAGUACUAGUUGAUUUUUAUUUUAGAAAAUGAUAUACAUAUGUUUUCAAUAUAUUGUUCAGUAUUGAUGACAGUGAUGAUUCAGUCUAUUCA